UUUGAGCCAUUAAGUAACAAGUGCUAACUUUUGUGAUACCUCAAACUGAGUUCGAGCACUUUACUCAUGUCGCCGAGGUGGUUAAACCUCCCGCUAGCAUGUUUUAGAGGGGUUUUUCGACCACGAGUUUGGAAGGAGGCGGAGGAAGUGGCACAGCAAAAUGGUUAAACGAACGACUACAAUGCCCGCCACAGGGACGGGUGACUUAUAAGCAGAGCACAAUUAGGCGAACGGGAGCUUGGAGGUGUGGCGAUGCCGGAGAAGUCGCGUGGCAGCAUUAGCCCAUAAGUCAGGCGCCUGCACCACAAUCAAAGCAACACAACAACAGAAAGUAAUUCAAUGCCCGCGACGUCGAAGUCGUCGUCGUCGACGGAGCCCGAGGCGCGCUCUCUAUGAAAAUUGGCUACGUGUAGGACUUUAGAGUGGACAGGCACAUGAAACACAAUUCAAAAACGCUUCGACCGGCAAAGUUGCCAGACGGAAUUUCUUCUGCAUUGUGCACAACACGGCCAAGAGUUUCCAAGGGAAGUCCAGUCUAAAAGUUAAGCAUUCCUCUUUGAUAACUUUCUCUAGAAACAAUCGAGCCUGAUUGAUAGUCAAUUAGUGCGAGUAAACGCGACGGAGCUGCGCCAUCCGUGGAGCCAACAACCGCUUGCACAUUAGCGGUGACUGCUCAUCCCAAAGGUCCGUAGAUAAAGUGGCAUUAACCUAAUUGC